ACAAGGAUUCCCCCAGUAACGGCGAGCGAAGCGGGAACAGCUCGAGCAUGAAAUCCCUGGCAGGUGCUGUCAGAGAAUUGUGGCCGGGAGAGGCGGUGGAGCUCCGACCGUUGCUGUCGAAGUUGACCUGGAAAGGCACGUCGGAGAGGGUGAGAGCCCCGUGCUCGACACCGACGGGAAGAGCCGUAGCCGUCUUCGGAGAGUCGGGUUGUUUGGGAAUGCAGCCCAAAGUGGGUGGUAAACUCCAUCUAAAGCUAAAUACUGGCACGAGACCGAUAGCGAACAAGUACCAUGAGGGAAAGGUGAAAAGUACUUUGAAAAGAGAGUCAAAAAGACC
rnacentral:rRNA from 1 species